rnacentral:rRNA from 1 species
GUGAGGAAUAUUGGUCAAUGGACGAGAGUCUGAACCAGCCAAGUCGCGUGAAGGUAGACGGUUCUAUGAAUUGUAAACUUCUUUUGUGCAGGAAUAAAGUGGGUUACGUGUAACCUUUUGUAUGUACUGUACGAAUAAGGAUCGGCUAACUCCGUGCCAGCAGCCGCGGUAAUACGUAUGAUCCGAGCGUUAUCCGGCUUUAUUGGGUUUAAAUGGUGCGUAGGUGGAUUGAUAAGUCAGCGGUGAAAGUUUGCAGCUUAACUGUAAAAUUGCCGGUGAAACUGUCGGUCUUGAGUGCAAAUGAGGUAGGCGGAAUGUGUUGUGUAGCGGUGAAAUGCUUAGAUAUAACACAGAAAUCCGAUUGCGAAGGCAGCUUACUGGGAUGCAACUGACACUGAUGCACGAAAGCGUGGGUAUCAAACAGGAUUAGAAACCCCGGUAGUCC